ACACGCAGUAAAUAAACAUCACCUGUUUGUGCAGGAUGACACGGGGGCGGCUCCUGCUGCUGCCGUUAUCGGGGAGGAAGCACUAGGUUGGGUGUGUGAGUAUUUGGACGCGCACCGCCACCAGAGGACAAUACCCGCGCGCUGGACGUGCCCCGCGGUAGCCGGACCGCGGCCCUGGCGGGCUUUGCCGAGCCCUGCCUGGUUAUUACUUCCUGGAAGGCCACUGCUGAGAAAAGGGGACUUUCACUUUUUCCUGCCUUGGUGGCUCCCUGUCGGCGUCUAGACUUCGUGCUCACAAUGGCAGGGCCUUCCGGAUCCCACUCUCUCUGUUGCCAGCUUCCAAGGUCAUGUAUCUAAAUUGGGAUUUCCUGGAUUCCCAGAGUCUUCGGGUUGGAAGGGCCUGGAGGGCAGCAGAGCCACCCUGUGUCUGUCUUUACAGAAGGGAGGAUGGAAGCGCAGGUCAGGGCGCGCUGGACCAGAGUUAUUCUAGACUGAGCUGCCCCUCUGCUCCGUGGAUGAGAGCAGAAGCCUCACAUCUGGGGCAGAUCUGGGGGCAAAAAAUUGGGCCUGAUAUCCGGGUACAUCUUAUGUGGUUUGCACAGUGGCGUGGCUUUUGCCUGGACCCUGUGGUUUCUUGGAAAAUCUGGCUGUGAGUCCUCCAAGAUAGCGUGAAAUCUAGUGUGGUCAGAGUUUCUCAUGCCUGGUGGUGUAUCAGUGUCCCCCCGAGGGUCUUGUGAUGAUGUGAUUCUGGUUCACUGGGCCUGGGAGUCUCAUUUCUAACCAGCCUGCAGUUGAUGAGGAUGUUCCUAGGGCUGGCACUUUCAGGAAGGGGUCUCUGAAUUCAUUGUGUUGAGGCCAGAGCCAUGAAAGGUGGGAAGUAGCAUGCCCUCCCCACUCACUGAGCUCAUGGCUCUGGCACGGGGCGACCGAGGCUCAUGUUUGGGCUCCAGACAGCAGGUGGUUGGGUCACCUUGAUGGUGCACUGGGAGUCUCACCCAGAGCCACAACUGCAGAGACCCACAGCCCUGUCUGUCCCCUCUCCUUGAACCCGGGCCAUUUCAGCUAAAUAAAAGUGGAAGGAAGGCUGUGGUCAUCACAGGCCUGUCCUUUAAGAGACUCUGGCAACCUAUCCUUCAUACUGCUAGGAACCCGGAGUUGGCACUUAAGAGGUCCCACCACUUGCUGGAGAGGCCAUACAGAGGGGCCACAUGGACAGAGGGAGGUACAGCCAUCCCAGCACGCCGAUCCAGGGCAACCUGCCAGCUGCCACAACAAAUAACCACCUGAACCCAGCCUGGCCUGUAGAAUUGUGUGCAAAUAAGACAGUGGCUGGGCUCAGCCAUUAAGUUUUGAGGUGGUUUGUUACACAGUGACAGGUAACUGGAAGAGCAGCCAUAUGGUUUAUCAUCCAGCCAGGAGGUAAAGGGGGCACUGCUAAUAAUUACACCAGAACCACGGUGGCACGGGGACCACCCCAGGAAAACGAGGAUGCACAGUGACCCUGAGAGGAAUCACCCUGUGACCAGUGAGCACUGCCUACAUGUGGGUCCCUGAGAGUCUUCUAGUUGCAAGUGGUAGAAACCAAACCUGAGCCCGGUUUAAGGCAAAACGACCACGUGUGGAAGGAGAAAGCCUCGGCUGGUCCUGCCACAGCUGUGCUUCCAUCCAGCGGCGGCACACUGUGUCCUGCAGGCUCCGGCUCUCUUCAUCUCUGCUUAGCUUUGUUUGGUCUCACUCUUUUUCCAGCUCUCCCCAGAAGGAGCAAGGCUAUCUCCGAACAAUGUCAAGCUCUGCACAAGUCCUGGACCGGAGUCUGUGGCGCUGAUCGGCCACGUUGGACCACGUGCCAUGAACCAAUCACUCUGGCCUGGAUGAUGAUACCCUGAGGGGCCAGACCUGAGUCAUAAGAGCACUUCAGAUCCAUCCUUCCAUUCAGAGCAGAGAGGGGAUCAACCAGGAAGACCUGGCCCCUGCUCUGGAGCAUGGGAACAGAGGUGGCGUGGGUGCAGAGGGCAGCUUUGCAGCAUGCAUGGCCCCCACGUCCUGAGUCAAGUGCGUCUGCAUUUCACAUUACUGCAGAGCUUCUCUGAGAACACCCAGCAGUCACCAUGGAUGUGGCCAGAGGCCGAUAAAUGAUGCUGGUGAGGGUCUAACGUGCCACCACAUCGGGGGCCUGGCUGGGAGACAACUCACAGUGUGGCUACUGAGAAGGGAGACUGUCGUCACUGGACGUUCACCGAAUCAUAAAUGAAAUCUGCAAGGACUUGACCACUCCCUCGAUGUUGACGUCUAUCAUUCCUGUGCAUGUAUUUCUAUUUGGCCACAUGUGGAUUCAUCCAGAACACAGUAUGAAGGUUGUUCUGCAUAUUCUUAGGCUGCAUAUAAAUGGUUUCCUAUUGUACUUUCAUUCUACAAAUUGCUCUACUGGUUUCGCACGAUGCUUCAAGAGCCGUCUGAGGCAAUCAUGGAGCUCUGUCGUCUGAGUUGGCCACUCUGCAGUGCGCUCCUGAAUGAAGCUCCUCCGCUGCCCGUUGAUGGACGUGUGCGUGGUUGCAGAGCAGCCGUGGCGGGCCGGGUGAAGCUCCAUGUGCACGAGAGCCAGCCGGGUUCUCAUGAACGUCAUGGUUAUUAACCGCUGGGGCUUACUCAGAUUAACGUCUGAACGCCAAGGCCAGUCCUAUUACGUGGGUUGGCUUGGUCUGCUCAUGUAAACUCUCACAUGUGCUGACACAUCCAGAAGGGACUGGAGCCUCCAUACCAGCAGCGAAUGUCCCCAUCUCGGAGCUAAGGCAACAACUCUGUGCACUGACAUCCUUGAAAGCUACUCUUCCUGGAUUUGUAUCACUAAGCAAAGUUAUAAGAAUUUCACCAGACAUGAGACACGCUUUUGUAUUUUGUUAGUGCGUUUCUAAAAGAUGACACAUUAGCAGAUGCCUGUGGCAACUGCAUUCUGUCCUUGUUGGCCUUUCAGCCUGCAGAGAAGAUAAUUGUCUGUAGAAUUGUGAGCUGGUGAUGCCGUGCCCUCCGACCUCUGACACCGCGAGCUUGUUGAGGGUAGGGAUGAGUUCACUGGCCCUUCCCGGGACUGUCCUGACGUCUGAUCUGGAGCAAGCAGGACUGUUCCCAGAGACUGUAGCCCCAGCUGGAGCAGGUGCCUCAUGGCGAACUCCGUGGUGCUCGACUGGCCCUGAUCUACUUGGGUGAAGCUUGGCCUCUUCAACAAUGAGCAACAGUGGACAAUGGUAGAGUGAGUCACCUUCCUCCUAGAGCUUCCUCCUCCCUGGUCCCACUUGGCCUGCGGGAACACGGUACGCAGAUGAGCGGGUGCCAUGCACUGGGGAAGGGAGUGCCACUGAGUGACUGCUGGAGGGCGCACAUGAGGUGCAAAAAUGAGACAAGGCCAAGGUGGUGGCUGCACACCUGGUGAGUGUGCUUGAUGCCUCUGAGUCGCACAGCUUUAGGUGGUCACAAAGCCAGGGAGGAGCUUAAACUUCCCACCCAGAAGGUUCUGUGUUUCUCCAUUCAUCAUCCGAAGUCCUUUGACUGGCUCCUUUGCCCUAAACUACUCUUCAGCAGAACUCCCUUAAGUAACUAAAUGGCUUUCACUGGGCUCCAGCCUUUUAAAAGAAAGAAAAUGUCGAUGAUGAUUCUUUGUCUCCAUAAACUCUUAUGUCUGAUGACUUCAGCAUCCGUGCAACACAGUUGCCCAACACAGGUAUCUUGAGGUCUGUUGAAGGAAUGAGUCCGGGAGCAGAGAGCUCCCAAGGCAGGCUCCUGGGGAUGCAAAUUCCUGAGCCAUAUGUCACCCUUGCAAGGUGGGGGGCCCCAUCACAGCCCCUGACAAAUGCAUGGCUCCUGAGCCAGUGAACCACAGGAGGUGAGGUUCACAUGGGCUGAUUGCAUCAGAAGAUACCUUCACGCGGAGAGAUGCCCUUUCUAGUCCCUUUCCUGCCAAAACACCAUAGCAACCAACAUGGAAAUGCCAUUCAGUCUCUGAGGUCCGGCCCCUCGGAUGUCAGCGCCUUUCUCCAGGAGGGAGAACAGAUGUGUGUGCAAAUUGCUAACUCCUCCCUGCAUGGAGAGGGGGCCCGCAUGCCCGAAUCCCACCGUUCACUUCGUGGAGAAGCUGUCAAAGAGCACUGAGGUGUGGGCUGUGGAGGGAACUGAAAGGGUGGCCCCAGGGGCCCGUUACUGCCGGCCAGAAGGGGAGUCAGAAAGCCUUCUGCCCCGCCGAGAAGACGCAGUCGGCCUUACCGGGAAUAUACGGCUCCGUUAUCAACACCAGCUAUGUUUUCACAUGUUUUAGAGCGACAGCGUGAAUCCAAAUCAUCAUCGCUGAAUUAUUUACAUAUCCACACAAUGUGCUGACUAUGUUGAGGAUGGCGUGAAGAAGGUUUAGUGGCUGGAGUCCCUAGGGGCUCGUAUUUAACAGUCCGACAGGGAAGCCUCCCUGGGCGACUGCGUUGCUCUCACUGAGGGAGUGACCCGGUCAACGGGCAUCAAUCACACAGGCGGGAAUAUCUGCUCGCUCAGCCACCACGGCCCCCAGCCUGCCACCCCCUCGCUGGCCCCAGCAUUACAGGUCCUCCACCACAGGGCGCCUCUGCCUCGCAGCAAUCCAUAGAUACUUUACAAAUAAGCGUUAUUGGGUAAAGAAAGUUACCCAGAAAACAGCUACCUGAUUACAUGGCCAGGAUACAGCCUCAAACAUACACUCAACAGGUUGUGGAAACAAAAUAUGUUACAUUUACCUUUGGAAAUCAGAAUAUCUCAUGCAGCAUCCCCCACUUGUACGUAAUCACUGUAACGGUAGAGAAGGGAGGAAAGAAACCUGGCUCAAGGCUCCUUAGGAUGCUGAUUCAAAGGCUGGGCAGAGAAAAAUACAAGGUGAGCCUGGAAUAUCUUGUGGUGCCAGAAAGCAAGAAAAGCAAGAAAGCUUUCUUUUUUAAAAAGAAAAAAGAA